GACGAACGCUGGCGGCGUGCUUAACACAUGCAAGUCGAGCGGUAAGGCCUUUCGGGGUACACGAGCGGCGAACGGGUGAGUAACACGUGGGUGAUCUGCCCUGCACUUCGGGAUAAGCCUGGGAAACUGGGUCUAAUACCGGAUAUGACCUCCUAUCGCAUGGUGGGUGGUGGAAAGAUUUAUCGGUGCAGGAUGGGCCCGCGGCCUAUCAGCUUGUUGGUGGGGUAAUGGCCUACCAAGGCGACGACGGGUAGCCGACCUGAGAGGGUGACCGGCCACACUGGGACUGAGACACGGCGCAGACUCCUACGGGAGGCAGCAGUGGGGAAUAUUGCACAAUGGGCGAAAGCCUGAUGCAGCGACGCCGCGUGAGGGAUGACGGCCUUCGGGUUGUAAACCUCUUUCAGCAGGGACGAAGCGCAAGUGACGGUACCUGCAGAAGAAGCACCGGCUAACUACGUG
rnacentral:rRNA from 1 species